CAACGCAUUUUCGUUGUAAUAAGAUUGGAAAAGCCUUUUAUUUUCAAAAGCAGUUUUCCAUAGGUUAAUGCUGCCCCAAAGUAGAGUUAGCUUUCUUAUGCUCUAGUGAGUUUCCCAUUACUGGCCUUGGUCAGGCUGGUCUUGAACUUGAACUCCUGACCUCAGGUGAUACACCCACCUCGGCCUCCCAAAGUGCUGGGAU
rnacentral:lncRNA from 1 species